rnacentral:misc_RNA from 1 species
GAAACGCGAUAGGUAAUGUGAAUUGCAGAAUUCCGUGAAUCAUCGAAUCUUUGAACGCACAUUGCGCCUUCUGGUAUUCCGGUAGGCAUGCCUGUCUGAGCGUCAGCAAAACACCCUCAGCUGAAUUUUGUUAUUCGUGCUGGUCUUGGGAUAACGGGAUGCCGGUGGUAUAUAUUCCACCUGCGCCCUCCCUAAACUUGCUGCACGACCGCAAGCCCCUUCUAGCCAGGUCAAUGGAGUGGUGUUACAAUCUUCCAGAAAGCCUGCUGGUAAUCGCUUCGCGGCGCUAAACGUGACGUCUCCCACGAGACUUGAAGUUUUGACCUCAGAUCAGACAAGGAUACCCGCUGAACUUAA